rnacentral:rRNA from 1 species
GACGAACGCUGGCGGCGUGCUUAACACAUGCAAGUCGAACGCUGAAGCACCAGCUUGCUGGUGUGGAUGAGUGGCGAACGGGUGAGUAAUACGUGAGUAACCUGCCCUUGACUCUGGGAUAAGCCCGGGAAACUGGGUCUAAUACUGGAUGCUACAUGUCACCGCAUGGUGGUGUGUGGAAAGGGUUUACUGGUCUUGGAUGGGCUCACGGCCUAUCAGCUUGUUGGUGAGGUAAUGGCUCACCAAGGCGACGACGGGUAGCCGGCCUGAGAGGGUGAACGGCCACACUGGGACUGAGACACGGCCCAGACUCCUACGGGAGGCAGCAGUGGGGAAUAUUGCACAAUGGGCGAAAGCCUGAUGCAGCGACGCCGCGUGAGGGAUGACGGCCUUCGGGUUGUAAACCUCUUUCAGCAGGGAAGAAGCCACAAGUGACGGUACCUGCAGAAGAAGCGCCGGCUAACUACGUGCCAGCAGCCGCCUGUAA